GAUUAUCUUCUUUAUAAACUCUGACAACUUGGCUGAUCCAUUGAUUGAAUGUUUGAUGAAUUUCUUCUACGAGAUGACCUGAAACGAAUAUUCAAAGAGUUUAUUAGUUGCCCAUUCAUUUUCAAGUGAACUCUUCAUACGAUUUACCUUUAAUGACAGAGUAUUUUCCUUCGUAUGGUAAAUUAAAGGUGGAUGAUGUCCUAGGUCUAAAGAUAUAAGCACCGGAUGAUCGAUUUUCAAAUACUUUGUUAUUACCUUCUGCUGAUUCAUAAUAAUGAAAAGACUGAACAAAGACUACUUCCUUGUCAUGCUUAUUUUGAAAAACUAUUUGACCAGAUUCGUCAACGGUUAUCGUAUAAAGCUAAAAUUCAACGAUCAAUGAAAUAGUUAGAGAUUAUUUAAAAAUGUUAGUAAAAAAUGCCUAACACAAAUGUGAAUAUUUUUUUGACUUACAUCUCCUUCUAUGGAGUUUGUAGGUUCAAUAAAUGUUUCUUCUGUAUCAGGUUUUGCACUUAUUGUAUAACGUUUGUAACCUAAUGCUGGUAAAUCAAUAGCACGGAACAAUAAUUCUUUCGUUGCUUUACUUUUUCUUCCAGGUAUUUGUUGUACUCUAUCAUGUAUUGGUAUUAUUUGAGAGAUGAUCUUGAGAUUCUCUAUAUAGUUAAUUCAGAAGAACAUGGAUCAUUCUAGUUAUCGUUAAAGUCAUUAUUAUAAAAAAUAUUGUACCUUUCGUAUCCCAGACAUCGUAGGAAUUUCCUCGUACUGGAAGACGAAUAUAAGAAGAAAUUCGUCGACUCAAAGGAUUGUAUACUGUUACAACGAAAUUUGCAUUAUCUUCGGUAUAUGCACAAGCACUGAUGUUUAAUUCCAAACAAGAGUGCAUUUGGAAGUCGUCAUUGGAAUUAUUUAUCUUAUUGGCCCAAUGACUGUUAAAAAAAGAAAAAAAUUAUACUUGUGAAAUAGAGAUAGAAUGUCAAAAAAAAAAAAAAUAUUUUGUUUGUGUAAUAAUGAAAUAGUGAUGAUCGUUAUUACUAAAGAGAUUUAGCAGCCAUUUUUUCGUUAUUGAAUAUGUUCUCGUAUAACAAACGAGAAUAAUCACUUGCAACCAAUUGUUUCUCUGUUCCAGUAACUGCAUCAUGAUGUUGCAUGACUCCCAUAGCUUCACGGAAAUGCUCUAAUUCUUCCUCGUUUUCCUUCGAAUUCGCCAAAACGGAUAAUUGUUUACUCACCUGUAAAAUCAAAAAUGUAAUUGGUACGUAUUCGAAAUUGAUACGAUAAUUAUUUUAUAGAUACUUUAGAGAGAUUAAACGGGAAUUGCAAAGCUUUACUUGUAACAAA